rnacentral:SRP_RNA from 1 species
CGGACGUAUUAUAAGAAGCGUAAGGUGGCAACAGAGCAGGGCGCCGUGCCGCCGGAGGACGU